ACCAGACUCCUACGGGAGGCAGCAGUGGGGAAUAUUGCACAAUGGGGGAAACCCUGAUGCAGCAACGCCGCGUGAGUGAAGAAGUCAUUCGUGAUGUAAAGCUCUAUCAGCAGGGAAGAAAAUGACGGUACCUGAGUAAGAAGCCCCGGCUAACUACGUGCCAGCAGCCGCGGUAAUACGUAGGGGGCGAGCGUUAUCCGGAUUCACUGGGCGUAAAGGGAGCGCAGGCGGCACGGCAAGUCCGGUGUGAAAGCCCGGGGCCCAACCCCGGGACUGCACUGGAAACUGCCGGGCUGGAGUGUCGGAGGGGCAGGCGGAAUUCCUAGUGUAGCGGUGAAAUGCGUAGAUAUUAGGAGGAACACCAGUGGCGAAGGCGGCCUGCUGGACUGCAACUGACGUUGGGGCUCGAAGGCGUGGGGAGCAAACAGGAUUAGAUACCCCUGUA
rnacentral:rRNA from 1 species